rnacentral:rRNA from 1 species
UACGUAGGGUGCAAGCGUUGUCCGGAAUUAUUGGGCGUAAAGAGCUCGUAGGCGGUCUGUCGCGUCUGCUGUGAAAACUCAGGGCUUAACCCUGGGCCUGCAGUGGGUACGGGCAGACUAGAGUGCGGUAGGGGAGACUGGAAUUCCUGGUGUAGCGGUGAAAUGCGCAGAUAUCAGGAGGAACACCGGUGGCGAAGGCGGGUCUCUGGGCCGUAACUGACGCUGAGGAGCGAAAGCAUGGGGAGCGAACAGG